UGGUGAUGUCUCUUAACCAAUAUCAAUAGAGGCACUCGGUCAUGCUGUGGGUAGAAUGAAGGCUCUACCUUAGCGCUAGUCUGCAAGAGUGUGAUGUGAGGAGAGGUUAAAUGCCUC
rfam:Bacillus circulans strain RIT379 contig11, whole genome shotgun sequence.